rnacentral:lncRNA from 1 species
GGUCGGUCCAAUUCUUCAUAAGGGAGCUACCAUUUGAUUUUUAUGGGGGGGCUAGGAUGAAAAAUUUUGUCCUGCAUUUUUUUUUUAGUUGUAAUCUCUGUCCUGCCUUUUUAUUUUUCACUCUAUUCGGUCCUGCUUUUUUUUUUUUUAGUUUAUCCUGACUUUUUUUACAUAAAUUGUCAUCCUGACUUUUUUUUUUGCAAGUGUCUCAUCCUGCCUUUUUUUUUUACUCAAAACUCCUGUCCUGCCUAUUUUUUUCAAAUUUCAUCCUAGCCCCCCCCCCCCCCAUAAAAAUCAAAUGGUAGCUCCCUAAAUGACUUCAUUGUUGACUUCUAUUUCCGGUACGUCGUCAAAUUCUUCUUUUGAAACUAAGUUUUUAAAAUGCGUAACAAAAUCGUUUAAUUUUAUGUUGCUUUGUUUGGCCUUUUUUCGUUUCCUGAAUUUUCGAUAAAAGUGCUUAGGAUUUGUUUUUGUCAUAGAACUCAACAUGUUUCCCCUCUGGUUUUUAUAUCGUCUUUUUAAACUAUUUUCAGUUCGUUAAAAUCUUUGUUUAGCAAGAUUUAAAAUUAGUCUGUUUUCUUCACACUUAUUUUGGUUAAAUUGUUUCAACGAGCG